UCCCAAGGUUGCAGAUUUUGGGUUAGCAAAGUUAUGCAAUAGAGAGAGUAGUAAGGUAGCAUUAAGUGGAGGUAGAGGAACGCUCGGAUACUCUGCCCCAGAGGUGUGGCAUCGAAAUCAUCCAGUAACACACAAGUGCGAUGUUUACAGUUAUGGAAUUAUGCUAUUUGAAAUCGUUGGAAGGAGAAGACACUUUGAUGCUAAUCUCAGUGAGUCUCGUCAAUGGCUUCCAAGAUGGACUUGGGAUAUGUACAAGAAUAAUGAA
rnacentral:misc_RNA from 1 species